rnacentral:rRNA from 1 species
UUUAUCAGUUCAGACCAGGAAAUCCAUCUUAAGUUAAGUAGGUCUGGGCCUGGCCAGGACUUGGAUGGGAGACCAGCUAGGAAAGCUGGGUUGCUGCUGGAU